rnacentral:rRNA from 1 species
ACGGGUAGCCGGCCUGAGAGGGCGACCGGCCACAUUGGGACUGAGAUACGGCCCAGACUCCUACGGGAGGCAGCAGUGGGGAAUAUUGCACAAUGGGCGCAAGCCUGAUGCAGCGACGCCGCGUGAGGGAUGGAGGCCUUCGGGUUGUAAACCUCUUUUAUCGGGGAGCAAGCGAGAGUGAGUUUACCCGUUGAAUAAGCACCGGCUAACUACGUGCCAGCAGCCGCGGUAAUACGUAGGGUGCAAGCGUUAUCCGGAAUUAUUGGGCGUAAAGGGCUCGUAGGCGGUUCGUCGCGUCCGGUGUGAAAGUCCAUCGCUUAACGGUGGAUCCGCGCCGGGUACGGGCGGGCUUGAGUGCGGUAGGGGAGACUGGAAUUCCCGGUGUAACGGUGGAAUGUGUAGAUAUCGGGAAGAACACCAAUGGCGAAGGCAGGUCUCUGGGCCGUUACUGACGCUGAGGAGCGAAAGCGUGGGGAGCGAACAGGAUUAGAUACCCUGGUAGUCCACGCCGUAAACGGUGGAUGCUGGAUGUGGGGCCCGUUCCACGGGUUCCGUGUCGGAGCUAACGCGUUAAGCAUCCCGCCUGGGGAGUACGGCCGCAAGGCUAAAACUCAAAGAAAUUGACGGGGGCCCGCACAAGCGGCGGAGCAUGCGGAUUAAUUCGAUGCAACGCGAAGAACCUUACCUGGGCUUGACAUGUUCCCGACGGUCGUAGAGAUACGGCUUCCCUUCGGGGCGGGUUCACAGGUGGUGCAUGGUCGUCGUCAGCUCGUGUCGUGAGAUGUUGGGUUAAGUCCCGCAACGAGCGCAACCCUCGCCCCGUGUUGCCAGCGGAUUAUGCCGGGAACUCACGGGGGACCGCCGGGGUUAACUCGGAGGAAGGUGGGGAUGACGUCAGAUCAUCAUGCCCCUUACGUCCAGGGCUUCACGCAUGCUACAAUGGCCGGUACAACGGGAUGCGACGCGGCGACGCGGAGCGGAUCCCUGAAAACCGGUCUCAGUUCGGAUCGCAGUCUGCAACUCGACUGCGUGAAGGCGGAGUCGCUAGUAAUCGCGAAUCAGCAACGUCGCGGUGAAUGCGUUCCCGGGCCUUGUACACACCGCCCGUCAAGUCAUGAAAGUGGGCAGCACCCGAAGCCGGUGGCCUAACCCCUUGUGGGAUGGAGCCGUCUAAGGUGAGGCUCGUGAUUGGGACUAAGUCGUAACAAGGUAGCCGUACCGGAAGGUGCGGCUGGAUCACCUCCUUU